AUUUAAGCUCUAAGUAAAAGAGUAUAUAACGCGGAAGUCAUACAACGAAAGACACCUAGGAACACUUGAACCUGGAGUGUUCUGAUAUAUAUGUCGUUCUUUUCCGAGACUGUCAACAAGAGGGUGAAUUCUUUCUCAAUUCUUGCGAUUUUGCUCCGAAUAAGGUCACAAUUGGUGAAAUCUCAAUCAUUCUCAAGCUAGACAAUUGGGAAUUGCUCAUAGAUUCAACAAACCUGCCCAACAAGCUAAACCCAGAUGCGAUUCGAUCCGUUCUUCACCCAACACAAUCAGAAAAUUGACUUAGCUCCGAGUCCUUAACCUUCAAUCUUCAUGCCAACCACUUUUCCGGUCAGAUUCCCUCAUAUUUUUCCAAUAUAAAUCUUCUCCGACAACAACUUCACCCGCACAACAAUCUGACCAAUCUACUUUCUGGCAACAACUUCACCGGCACAACAAUCUGACCAAUCUCCUUUCCGGCGACAAGCGCGUCUCACCGGUUUUCUGUAUCUCAGCCUACAAGCUCAUCGGCGGCGAGGUAUCUGAUGUCAAUGCCUCACAGAUGGCAAAAAGUAUUUUGGGAUACAUCAGUUGGAUUAGAGUUAAAAUGGCAACAGACUUUGAACAGAAGCAGUGAAACCAAGAAUCAAUACGUAAUUGGGUCAAGUUGUCUCUACCGGGUUAUCGGUGUAAUUCCAAAGUGGUUUCGCUAUUUUCGCGAUAUUCGAUACCUCAUCAAGUUCGUGCAGAAAAAUAACUUGAAUACUGAAUCUCAAUCCGAGGACUCAACCUCUGAAAGUGUUGAAGAACUUGAUCCUAACUAUGGUGAUGAAUCUGGUGUGGAUUACUCCUCAAGACCAAGGACUGCUUUUUCCAAGCAACCUCCUCGUGAAAGAGAAUCCUUAAUUAAGGAUGAGAAUUUACAGAAUUGUAGAGUUAAAUAUUCCAUUCCUUCAUCUAUUCGUCUUCACAAACCCAAACCAGAAGAUAGAUAUUCUUCUAUUCGUUUGGGUGAGGUAUGCUUUUUCGAGUUGACUUUUGCUGCGGGCUUGCGUUUACCGAUUCAUCCAUUUGUAAAAGAAAUUAUUUCUUAUCUGAAGAUAGCUCCUUCUCAAAUUGUUCCUAAUUCAUAAUUAGAAUUAUUAUAGGCUGUUUGAUUGUUUGGGGUAAGUAUGGCAAUGGUCGUCUAACAAUAAAUCAAUUCCUGCAUUUUUAUUAUCCAAAGAAGAAAAAAGACAACUUUUGGUACUUCCAGUGUAGAUCAAAGAAGACAUUCCUCCUUGUUGCAACCCCUGAAAAUAAUAAAGGUUGGAAGAGUCGUUUCUUUUUUAUGUCCGGUGCAUUCGGGAAAUUUCCAACUAUUUGGAAUAAUUCAGAUUCAACAGGUAAGAUUUAUAUGUAUAUAGUUUCCAAAUUCUUCUUCUUUUUUUUUUUUUUUUGUACCCGAGGGAACAGUACCCGCGGGUACUGUUCAUGAAUAGUAAAAUAAUAAUAAUUUUUUUUUUUUGGGUACCCGAGGGAACAGUACCAUCGAGUAUUGUUCGUGAACAGUAUCCGCGGGUACUGUUCGUGAAUAGUAAAAUAAUAAUUUUUUUUUUUUUUUUUUGCACCCGAGGGAACAGUACCUACAGUAUUGUUCAUGAAUAGUAUUUUUUAUUUUAUUUUUUAAGUGUAACUUAUAAUUCUUUUUCCUAGAGUUUAAGGACAAACCAACCCUCUCUAUUCAAGAAGCCGAGUAUGUUGGUAAUGCUUCUUCUUACCCAGUGAAGACCUUUAGCGAUCUCAUGACUGACGAGGCUUUAGAUUUGUAUGUACGAGCUCAUAGCUCAAAGGAAACCUCCACCCACUCAGAGAAAGGUAAGGAAAGCAAAGGUACUUAUAUGUGAAUUUACUGAUUUUAGUUAUUAUCUCAUUAAGUAUUUCCCUUAUUACUCUUUAUGUAGGCAAGGAGCUCAGUAAAAGGCUCCUAGCCCAAGUCUGGUCAAGUAAUCUUCCUGCUACUCCUGCUUCUAAAAAAUUACGAAGGGUAAGAGAAGGGAAUCAUGGUACAUCCUCAAGCCCUGGAGUGUUAUCAGGUCCUACUCCUGUACCUCUAGGUUUUAACGGAUUUAGUGGGGUUCUUACGAGUUUCGAAAGUUUUGGUUCAGUAUCAACCAACCAAGCCUUUUCCCACGGGGAAUUGGUUCUCGAUGAUGCUAAUGUCGCGAAUGACAGGUUACAUAAAAUGGUAGUAAAAGAUGACACUGCCAGAUUGCAGAGUCUGUCAGCAUCUGAGCUUUCAAAGAAAUUUCUUCAUCUAAUCAGCCAAGGCACUACAUACUCUGUUGUUAUCGCCAAAGAAUACGAGAAGCUUUCCCUAGAGAUGGCUUCCCUCAAGGCUAACUAUGAAGAUGUUACUUCUGCACUUAAAAUUAAAGAAGAUGACUUGACUAAUGCAAAAUUAAACUUUUAAGAUGAGAAAGUGAAACUUACCAAAGAAUACUCUGAUAAGCUGGAACUCGAGAAGCUAGCUGCCGUGGAGAGUUUUAAAAAUUCUGAUGAAUUCAAGGUGCUCAUAGGCAAGGCUUGCUGUGGUUUUGACCGGUUCAAAGCUCUUGUCGGCAAAGAUCGUCCAGACAUAGACUUUUCUAUGUAUGACAUUCUAAGUGAGAGCGAAGAGAAAGAUGGAAUUCCAUAGUAGUAGUCAUAUAUAUACAUAUAUAUAUAUUAGGUUUUUUGAUUUCUCAAUAUGUUGUUCCUUUAGAACUUUUCAGAAUAUCUCUUAAUCCAGAGAAUAGUUGCUCUACUUUUGUCUUUCA